AGAUACGCACACAUUGGACCUGAGCUAUCAGAACCACCUUUAAUAGACACUCAGCCUUGAGAAAUGACUUCUGGAGUCUCCGCAUUCAAAGCAACAGCAGGAGAAGCAGUAAGAAGGGCCGCUAGCAGCAAAAACGUGGACCCCUGCCAGGUGGUGCUGAGUGCCAGGCUCGCGAGAGUUUAAGGGCAUCCUGUGUUAUGGGCCCGUCACCAGCUUCAUUUUGGAGGUGAACAGACAGAGGCACCAAGAAGAACCUGAGGCUCUUCCCUGGCGCCCAUAGGCAGCAGGCGGGGCCAGGGUCUCUCUGAAGCCUCUGCGGUCAACCGUGGAAAGAACACGAACCCAGGGCACAGGGUAGCUGCACAGUUCGCAGGGCUCGGAGCAAUACGGGAUGAGGGACCCUCUUGUUCACAUCGCAUCAAGGAUUUCAUGCCAGUGACGUUAAAGGGGGCACCAGGUCCUUUAGGUGUGUAGCUGGGUGCCGCUGGGCAGACCUCGAGCCCUGAGCAGGCUCUGGGCUCUGUCACAUCCAGUGGCCCCAGGAUGGAAGGCCUUCCUUCUGCUUCCCCAGCUCAGUCGAUCAGCAGCAGAGGAGAAAGGCGUCUGUGUUCCCUGCGACCAAGAGACAACCUGACCAGUUUUACACGCAGGCAGAGUUCUGCUGUGGCCCAGAGGGUUACCGACCUGCUGGUAUCCGUGAGUCUGCUCCCUGCCUUCAGCAUGAAGAUUUCGCUUCUCUGAGGACCAUGCGACACACGGGUCUUGAGGCCUGGAGCUUGGAAAUUGUUCACUUCAGAGUUUCAGAGUUUGUUUGACAAAGAACUGAAGGUUUUCUAUUUGUCUUUAUAUUAAUUUUCACAAAUCAAGAAACUCCAGGUUCCUUCUUUGCUUGCUUUAUUUUAAGAGGUGCAAUUUCUAAUUUUUUUUCAUGGAAAAGCGUUUAGUGUGUUUAUUUUGGAUGCUCGUGCUGGUGCCUGCGAUCCAGGUCAGACAUCACAUCCAAGACGUUAAAGUGACAAUUGCUCCAGAUUCUUUGCUUUCCACUUCAUUGCACAGAAUCACGAAUUCUCCAUCUGUCCCCUGGAACAACCAUUUCAGGACACCUCCUACCAGAAGAGUCAAAACACUGAUCACCCAGCUUAGUUGCUCCCGACACCAGUACCAGAAAUAAGAACCCAUCAGUUGCAUCACCAGGAAGGUUGUUCUGUGCUUACCUUCCCUUAGCUAUCUUAAUUUGUGUGCGAAAUAGUUUAAAUGACACCUUGUCUUUUACUUGGUUAAAGUGAAAGUGGACCGAGAAUCUUACCCACCAUCUCUUCAUCUGCUGUUGGAUUUUGCUAAAGUGAAUUCCUUUAAUCCCCAAACUUAUGUGAAGCUACUUCUCAUCUAUAUUCUAUACCUGGAAUGUUGCUUAUAAAUUACAAAAGUAGCUUGUUUGGGUUGAUCAACUUCAAGAUAAUGCAAAUGUUCAACUUUGGGACGGGACAAGAGGGAGAUAAAUUCAGAGUCUGUGAUUAACAGGUACCUUCUACUCACAUUGUUAUUAUUGGUGGCAGCAGUCCGCCCCCAGUUUGCUCCUGUUGGGUCAGCAGAACGCCCUCCUCUCUGUCUGCUUGUCUGUCUGUCUGUCUUCCUCUCUCUCUCCUCUCUCACUCUCUCUCUCAAACCACUCCAUCUGGUAGAAGAAGCCGGCUGCCCUGUUGAAAGUACUGCGUGGCAAGUGCAUGGCAAGAAACAGACGUCUCUGGCCAAAGCCAGUGAGAACCGAGACCUAUCACGGGCACAGGGGCGAGCUCGGAAGCAGACCCUCCAGCCCCAGCGGACACUGACCCCUGCCUCGGCUGACGGCUGGGCUGCAAUCCCAUGAGAGGUUCUGAGCCAGAACCAGCCACGUAAACUGCUGCCAGGUGCAUGACUCCCCGAAACUAUAUGGGAUUAUAAUCAUGGUUUUAAGCUGUUAAGUUUCAGGGGCAAAUGUAUUUCACAGAAAUAGAUAACAAUUCACUGGCCCAAUACUAUUGUGAAUGGAAAAUAAUAAAAUCAUAGCAGAUGUGACUG
rnacentral:lncRNA from 9 species